rnacentral:tRNA from 2 species
CCGUCGAUAGCUUAGUGUCAAAGCACCCGACUCUUUAUCGGGAGGACGCAGUGUUCGAUUCCUGCUCGGCGGACCA